CACUGUUAACGGUGGAUCACUUGGUUCGUACGUCGAUGAAAAACGAGGCGAGACUCGAAAGUUUAUGUGAAUUGCAGCCACGUUGAACAUAGAAAUUUUGAACGCACAUUGCGGUGUUGAGUUGACUCGACGCCGCGUCUGUCUGAGGGUCG
rnacentral:rRNA from 1 species